UAUAAAAUUUCUUUUUAGAUCUAAAACUGUUGAAAACCUUGAAAACUUAAACUUAUCAUCAUUAGUCGGAGAAAUGAAACGUUUUUCAAAUAUAUCCAUGAUUGCUGAACAGGGAGGGUCACUUGAAAUUACGCUUACAGUCCCUUCUUAAAGACCUGGGCAAAGAGGAACAGAAGGAUUUUUUAAGAACUGUUGAAUAUAAGAAUAAACAAUUUAUAUGUUGAAAUAUUCAAUAAUGAUGUAAUUACUGAAACGUAUAAAUAAUCGAUGUAAUUAAUGUAAUUAUUGUUAUAAUCAUUUUCUCCUAUUUAUGCAUAAUUAGGCAUAUUUUUGUAAAUCUAUAAUAUAUCAAAAAUGUUAAAGAAAGGAAUUGAAUCUUUGCCAGAAACUAUAA